rnacentral:misc_RNA from 1 species
GUGAAUCAUCAAAUCUUUGAACGCAAAUUGCACUCCUUGGUAUUCCGGAGAGCAUGCCUGUUUGAGGGUCAGUUUAAAUAAAAAUCGGUGUGGUUGCUGCGUCUCGUGGUGACGCUUCGGAUCUGGGUCGUCUUGUUUUCGGCUAAGUGUCCUAAAAUUAUGCAUGACUCUUUUCGCAUGUUUUUACAUGAUUUUAGGUAUGCUUGAGACAUCGUAUACUAGGUGUGGUU